UGCAGGUGGUCUGCCAGGUGUCCUGGUAACACUCCCAGGGGUCCACCCUUCACCAAACAAACAGAAAAACUCCUCCUCAUCAUCAGCGACCUUCAUCAACUAAUAACGCCAGCCUAUAAGGAAAACACAGCUCUGCACUGAAGCUACCACACAACACUGCAACAACAACGUGAGCAACAAAAACAGAACGAACUGCCACCGACCCCAUGAAACGAUUCAAGGCUCACUCACAGCUUUCCCGUAGGAGUCGUGCACCGGUUCUUGAAAUAUUUUGGCUGUGGUCUCUGCAGCGACUCACGGCCGUAUCAAACUGAACACACAGGCGUCUCCACUGGAGCUCCAAGCUAACAAAAGAAAAAGGUGGAUAAUAUAAUGAGAGAUGGAGGACAGAAGAGCCUACAUCUUCACCGAGUGUAGAAGGAGCCUCGUUUAUCCUCGCAGACUACUCUGUUAUCUAAGAACAUCAUUUAUUCACAGAGAGCUGCUUCCAUGUUUGAACCCACACAUCAAGAAAGAUGUGGAGUCGCAGGCCGAGAGCAGAGACGAUGGCACGACGUUUCUCAGCGUCUUCAGGAUCAAAGAUCAUUAACUUCCUUUUGUUUAAUCAAUGAGGAUAAAACCUUUAGAAAGCUCAACAGUAAAGACUCAUCGCUUUCUAUCCGGCUGUAUUUGCUCCACACUGUCAAAAGCUUACAUUUGUAUUUGUAUCUGAUUAAAAUAAAGGCGUGGGAACCACGUUAGAGUUUAUGUGACCCUCUGAUCCAGAACUCGUCGCCUGUGCCAUCAGGGGGUGACAGCUGUUAAUGAAGAAUCAGCCUCAACAAGCAAACUGUGAGCGGAUGAAAAAGAAGCUCUGACCACAUGAAGGCAGAAAACUUCAGAUUAAAGAGUUUCAGAGUUCAGACAUUCAGCGGGAGGAAGAACAACAAGCAGGACGUGGAGAAGAGUUCAGCAAGAAAACAGGAAGUCCACGAAACAAGGAGAGAGAAGCAAAGCCAGGC